UUUGGUGACUAUUGCGGUGGGGUACACCUCUUCCCAUUCCGAACAGAGUAGUUAAGCCCACCAGCGCAGAUGGUACUGGAGUUACAUCCGGGAGAGUAUGUCGUCGCCUCUU
rnacentral:rRNA from 1 species